CAACAACAAAUACAAAAUAAUUUAUUACUCUUUAUUUUUCGAGAAAAUUUUAUAAAAAAUUAAUUAAACUCACACUAAUACAAAAGGUACCUUUUGAGUACUUUUAAAAUUUUUUAUAUUUAAUGUUAUUUCAACUUCCCCCUACGGACUAUAUAAAAUUAAAUUUUCUUUAUUAUACUAAAAAAUUAAUUAAAUUAAAAAGAUCGUAAGAGCGA